rnacentral:rRNA from 1 species
GACGAACGCUGGCGGCGUGCCUAAUACAUGCAAGUCGAGCGAGCUUGCCUAGAUGAUUUUAGUGCUUGCACUAAAUGAAACUAGAUACAAGCGAGCGGCGGGCGGGUGAGUAACACGUGGGUAACCUGCCCAAGAGACUGGGAUAACACCUGGAAACAGAUGCUAAUACCGGAUAACAACACUAGACGCAUGUCUAGAGUUUGAAAGAUGGUUCUGCUAUCACUCUUGGAUGGACCUGCGGUGCAUUAGCUAGUUGGUAAGGUAACGGCUUACCAAGGCAAUGAUGCAUAGCCGAGUUGAGAGACUGAUCGGCCACAUUGGGACUGAGACACGGCCCAAACUCCUACGGGAGGCAGCAGUAGGGAAUCUUCCACAAUGGACGAAAGUCUGAUGGAGCAACGCCGCGUGAGUGAAGAAGGGUUUCGGGUCGUAAAGUUCUGUUGCGAAGGAAGAACGCCGGAGGGAGGAAAUGACCUCCGGGUGACGGUACUUCGCGAGAAAGCCACGGCUAACUAC